UGCAAGUCGAACGCAGUAGCAAUACUGAGUGGCAAACGGGUGAGUAUAAUGUGGGUAUCUGCCUUUUGGUUUGGAAUAACAUGAGGAAACUUGUGCUAAUACCGGAUAAGCCUUCACAGGGAAAGUUUUAUACGCCGAAAGAUGAGCCCGCACUUGAUUAGUUUGUUGGUGAGGUAAUGGCUCACCAAGACAAUUAUCAAUAGCUGGUCUGAGAGGACGAUCAGCCACAUUGGGACUGAGACACGGCCCAGACUCCUACGGGAGGCAGCAGUAAGGAAUCUUGCACAAUGGGGGAAACCCUGAUGCAGCGAUGCCGCGUGAGCGAAGAAGGCCCUUGGGUUGUAAAACUCUUUCGUCGGGGAAGAAAAUGACUGUACCCGAAUAAGAAGGUCCGGCUAACUUCGUGCCAGCAGCCGCGGUAAUACGAAGGGACCUAGCGUAGUUCGGAAUUACUGGCUUAAAGAGCUCGUAGGUGGUUAAAAAAGUUGAUGGUGAAAUCCCAAGGCUCAACCUUGGAACUGCCAUCAAAACUUUUUAGCUAGAGUGUGAUAGAGGAAAGUGGAAUUUCUAGUGUAGAGGUGAAAUUCGUAGAUAUUAGAAAGAACACCAAAUGCGAAGGCAACUUUCUGGGUCACUACCGACACUGAGGAGCGAAAGCAUGGGUAGCGAAGAGGAUUAGAUACCCUCGUAGUCCAUGCCGUAAACGAUGUGUGCUAGACGUUGGAAAUAUAUUUUUCAGUGUCGCAGCGAAAGCAUUAAGCACACCGCCUGGGGAGUACGACCGCAAGGUUAAAACUCAAAUGAAUUGACGGGGACCCGCACAAGCAGUGGAGCAUGUGGUUUAAUUCGAAGAUACGCGCAGAACCUUACCAACACUUGACAUGUUCGUCGCGAGACCAAGAGAUUGGUUUCUUCAUUUAGUUGGACGAAACACAGGUGCUGCAUGGCUGUCGUCAGCUCGUGUCG
rnacentral:rRNA from 1 species